AAUCUGGGAAGAGGCUUAGAUAGAAAAAAGAAAACGCGCUCUCUGCGCAAAGCCCGCUGGGAGUUGUAGGAAAAAAAAAAAAAAAGUUGAAGCCUGUAAAGAAUUUCCGGCUCGAAAGAAAAGCAAGGAAGCCGACUGGAAGUUGUAAAGGAAGAGUUGGAGAAACGACGGAUUCUCUUCAAGGAAAGCUUCACUCGAGGGAAGGAGACUCUGGGAAGAAGCCCACAUAUAGAGAUGUAUGUCAUUUAUGGUUGUAUUUGUUGAAUGAAUGUUCAGCCAAUCAUUUAUUAUCAAUAAAUAUUUCUAAAGUG